UAUUUUGCUGUUGGUUGUCAGAUUUCGGAUUGCUACUAUUAUACUGUGAAAUUAAUUUGUAGUAGAAAAUUGAGGUAUAAAAUAUUUCCAUUGGUUUCUUUAUUCUUAUAAUUUUUACAAGAGAAAUUGAAAAUGGAUUUACAACCGAAAGGCGUAAAAUUCGUUAUAAAUUUGAUGCGACAGUUCAAAGUUUUGUACUUUCCAGACCUGCACAACGAAUUACCUAUUUGAAAAAUAGAAAAUGGUUAAAAAUUGCUGAUGUGAUAGAGGAUUCAAGUACCAUUUACAAACAAAAUAUUGAAGAGAAUGUGCUCGAAAGGAAAUAUAUGAAUUCUUUUUUGUUGACCAGGAUGGAAAAAGUCAUUGGAACCCAUAGUUAGAAUAAGAAUAAGUUAGGCCUAGAGGUGUACCAGCCAGAAGUAGAGGAUGACAAAG